rnacentral:misc_RNA from 1 species
AAGUCGUAACAAGGUUUCCGUAGGUGAACCUGCGGAAGGAUCAUUACCAAAGAUUGAGAGAUCAAUCUCAACCCGCUCGGUGUUCAGAGGUUCUGGACUCCGAACCGGUCAACCCUUUGUGAACCAAAAAACCUUUUCGCUUCGGCAGCUGGGCCUGACCGCCUGUCAGCCUGCCGCUAGCACCAACCUUUCAAACCUGUUGUCAAACAUUGUCUGAUGACCAAAAUUUUCGAAUGAAAAUCAAAACUUUCAACAACGGAUCUCUUGGUUCCC